AAAGCACAAAAAUGUAUUAUGUGGGGAUACUCAGAACGCUCUAAAGGCUAUAGAGUAUAUAAUACAUAAACACUAAUUACGGAAGAACCAAUACAUGUCAUAUUUGAUGAUAAGCUUGACUUUGAAAAUUCAAAGCUAGUUGAAAAUUUUGCAGAAUUGGAGAUAACACUUGCAAGUUCUAAGGAAAAGGCUAAAGAAUCUGAAGAAGCAGAAAAAGGAACGUCAGAAUCACCUGAAGUCACAAUAAAUCAGAAAAGAUCAAGAAAUAGACAAAACGUUUCUGAAGAAUUGAUUCUGGGGAACAAAAACAAACCUGUCAAAACAAGAUCAACAUUCAAAGGUUCUAAAGAAACACUUCUGGGACUAGUAUCUCUGAUAGAGCCUCUUGAUGACAUUCCACCUUUUGCACAUAAGUCCCUACAAGAAUUAAAUACCAAUAGGUAAGCCAUGAGAUCCAAUGAAUACACAUACAAACCAUAAGUCCAACCAUUGAAAUCAUAACAAUAUAAAACCAACGACAACCCAUUUUCAUUAGCUAACUCAUACUUAUUAAUAUUCUAACAUAAUCCAUUAAUAAUCCACGAAAUGAUUAGCUAAAAUUCUAACUUUUUAUAACUAAUACCUAACAAUUUCACACCAGGAACUGAUAGAAUUGAUUCAAUGUCUAAACAAUUGUCACAAUGCAAUAACAGUUAGCUACUCCAAAACAUCCUAACAAAGUGCAACAAUAGCAGUGAUUUAACUAAUAUUAGCAUUAGCACUAUGUGAUUGAGGGCAUCAUUUGUCACAGAAGCAGCCUCAUUUGGCUUCAAAGCAGCUACACAAAACUCAACCUAUUUCCAUGGAUAACUAACACAGUAAAUGGCUUCAAUUAACAUGACAGUUUUCUAACGUUCAAACCAAUUGACUUAGCUAAGCUCUAACCACAUUCAUGACUGAAUUUCAAGCUUGGUUCCACACCAUAAUUCACUGGUCCAACAAUCAAACUAUAAAUUUCAAACCAACAUGACAACAAGAAUUCCAAAGUUCAUGUAACAUUCAUUCAUAUCCGUGGCAUAAUUCAUAUAACACUUAAGAACAUAACACACUAUCAGUAGAAGUGUGUUUGCAGACUAACUCAGUUGUAGUUCAAUCAAUAAGUAACAAUCUACAUUAACCCUGUUAGCAUAACAACACAAUCCUCUUCAAUUUAACAAACUAACAACUAACCAAUUUAACAUAAAUAAGCAAAUUAACUUCAUCACUAACAACUUAACUAACAUAAUUGACCAAGUCUUUUAAUUACCUUCCUAACCAUGCAACUAACUUAAACUCAGUUUUCUGACUAACAUUUAGCAGAGUUAAUCUAACUGAACUUCAAGCUAACCUAUCUAACCACUAACUAUUUUUUAACUAAUUCUUAACGGAAGGAUAACAACUAACCAAUUUGUUCUCUGAGAAGUAACAAAAUUAAACUAUGUUAGAUUCAAAACUCUAUAUAAUCCAAUCACCCUACCUAAUCAUGGUUAAUCAUAAUUACUCAUAAAUUUUCUUUGUUUUUGAUCUCUGCAUCUCUCUGCAUUUUACUCCCUCGCUCUCCCUCUUCAACCCCUCACACGUAGCUCAAUUCAAUAGCCAUUGAAC
rnacentral:lncRNA from 1 species